ensembl:lncRNA
ACUUGUUAGAUAGUUAUGUGUCGUGGCAAAAAAAGAAAAGAAAAAAAAAUCAUAAGCUUAACAAGUUUAGUUUGUAAUCAGAUACAGGCUGCACCUAUGCUGCAGUCAGAAGAUGAGCCUUAAAUGCGAUUUAAAAAUUGAACAAGUAAACAUCGGACCUCUGACCAAAUGGCAUAAAAAAAAAACCCUGAUGUAAGUGUAACGCCUCCAUUAGGUCGCCAGGACACCGCGACUUAAUGGAUGCCCAGAUGAGUCAUACAAAGGAAAACAUAGACCAGUACUCUAGGUUCAGCAGUAGAGAUUGAAUGGAAUAAACAGACAGGCAACAAAGCCUCCAUUAUGUGACACUGAUAGAUCGGCAGUGAACGCCACCUCACAUUCUCUUACAGCAGACUUUGACGUGCAUGUACAUGUACUGGUGACCGGAAUUCAAAGCCUCAUCUGUAUGUGUUGCAGAGAAAACUGUUUAAAAAAAUAAUGUACACAGAUAUUCAAAGAGAAAAACAGGAUGCUGAAGUAACCUGUGUACAUAUGUGAAGAGCUGGGCAUGUUCGUAGAUCUCAUGAAUGUGCGCUUUAGUAGUUACAAAGUAUUAAAUGAUCUGCAUUGUUCUGUACUGAAGGUAAAACAACAUAUGCAUAAUAUUAGCUAGUCUUUUAAAAGGUUUAAAAAUGUUUUAGAUCUUGGCCAAAUAUGUAGUUUUCAGGUUAUCAGCUACACCUAACUUGUAUAUAAAUG